rnacentral:tRNA from 1 species
GGCCUCGUAGUUGAGUUGGCUAGAGCGUUGGCUGUACUGAAGGCUUUCCCUUGCUGGCGUGGGCUCGAAUCCUACCGAGGCCG